rnacentral:misc_RNA from 1 species
AAAGUCGUAACAAGGUUUCCGUAGGUGAACCUGCGGAAGGAUCAAUCACAACAAUAUCAAUAUGAAAUGGGGGGCAAAUGGGGAGGACGAUGAAUCCUCUCUGCUUGCCUUCCAUAUUAUAUAACCUUCGUGCAACGAGAGGAGAGAGACUUACUUCUAAAAGGGUGGGAUCUUUUCUUUUUUGGGGGUGGGAGGGGGAAGAUAUAUGGGAUAUAUCUUCUCACUUGACGUCUAUUUUAAAGGCUGUUUAUUCACGAUAUAUAUCAUAUACAACUUUUAGCAAUGGAUCUCUAGGCUCUU